rnacentral:rRNA from 1 species
GCCCUGGCCGGGCGGUCUGCCUCACGGUAUGUACUGUCUGGCUGGGGCUUACCUCUUGGUGAGCUCGCAUGCCGUUUAUUCGGUGUGUGAGGGAACCAGGACUUUUACUUUGAGAAAAUUAGAGUGUUCAAAGCAGGCGUAACUCGCCUCCGAAUACGUUAGCAUGGGAUAAUGGAAUAC